rnacentral:lncRNA from 1 species
GCCAAUGAAAUCACAACCUCACAUAGAUAGAAUAGAAGACAAAGGUCUGAAAUAAUAAAAUAAAACUCUAGUUAGAAAGAACAUGCUUAAAAGCUAUAGAUGACCAAUCGUCUAGGGGAAAGGAUUAAACAAUAGAAAAACUAGGCUAAGAAACUUAGGACAAAAAUACAAAAAGAAAAAUUAAGAUGUAAACCAAAGACAAACAACUCAAGAUUCUAGAAAACAAAAAUAACUUAGGAUAAUGAUCAGAAAAACUUAAGGUAAAAACAAAAGACUUAGGAACUGAAUCCCAAAACAAACAUAAACUAGAACCAGGAUUCCUAAACAUAGAAAAACAUAGGAAAACACUUAGAUUCUAUGAAAUAGGAAAACAUCUAGAUGCAUAGCUAGACGAUGUCUUGUCUAAAAGCAUCCAAGAGAAAUUGAGUUAAACGUUCAAUGCUUAUAAUACCUGGAAUAGGUAUUUGGCUUCUCUAAAAAACAAAAUAGGUCAAGAC